UCCGGCCGGUGGUUUGCCCCAGCGCCGCAGUGCGAUCGGCCAACUGCCUCUACGAGCGCCCAGCCGAACGCCUCGGGAAGCCGGCGGGCGGCGGCCCUCGCCGGGGACCCUUCAGCGGGCCCAGGGGGACAAAGUGGCUCUAAAUGUAGCACAGGCACAUUGAAGCAAGUUAAAGGAUUUAAUAUGAAGCACAGAAGCAGAUAGAUAGUGCCAAAUAGCAAGCUGUAGUUGGUACACAUUUAGUGAGUGGAGCAGCAUUUCCUUCUCCCACUGCUGCUGAGAUGGCGGAGAUUAGUCGAAUUCAGUAUGAAAUGGAAUACACCGAAGGUAUUAGUCAGCAAAUGAGGGUCCCGGAGAAAUUAAAGGUAGCACCACCAAAUGCUGACCUGGAACAAGGAUUCCAAGAAGGAGUUCCAAACGCUAGUGUCAUUAUGCAGGUUCCAGAGAGGAUUGUUGUAGCGGGAGAUAGUGAAGACAUUCCAUUUUCAAGACCAGCAGAUCUUGACCUUAUUCAGUCAACUCCCUUUAAACCUCUGGCACUAAAAACACCACCUUGUGUACUUACAUUAAGUGAAAGACCACUAGAUUUUCUGGAUUUAGAAAGACCUCCUCCAACCCCUCAAAAUGAAGAAAUCCGUGCAGUUGGCAGGCUAAAAAGAGCGCGCUCUAUGAGUGAAAAUGCUGUUCGCCAAAACGGACAGCUGGUCAGAGCUGACUCCAUGCAUGGCAUGUCACAUAUAGAUACAACAAUUGAAGGAACUUCAGACGACAUGACUGUUGUAGAUGCAGCUUCGUUAAGACGGCAGAUAAUCAAACUAAAUAGACGUCUACAGCUUCUAGAAGAGGAGAACAAAGAGCGUGCUAAAAGAGAAAUGGUCAUGUAUUCGAUUACUGCAGCGUUCUGGCUGCUUAACAGCUGGCUCUGGUUUCGCCGCUAGAGGUAACCUCAGCUCUCAAAAAUAUUGUCUCAACAGCUGCAAGUAUAAAGAAUUUGCAAAUUUGUUUCUGUCUUUGCAUUGUAUGCCGUUUUAUAGGCCAUGCCCUGAACGUGUAUUUCUUCCAGAAAGGAGGGCGGAAGGACUGAUAUUUGCAGAAGUCAAGGUAUAUUUCUCUCACUCAGCUGUAGUCACUUUUAAGCAGAUCUGCAGUAACAAACACCUUAAAAUUCUCCCUUUGCAUGUUUUGUAAAUAGGCUCUAGUUUGUUUUUUGAAAGAAAUUUUUGCCUCAUCAGCUCACACAAUUAAUUCUUUGAAUGGGAGAGAGAGUGCAUAGGAAAUGGAUUUAGAAAAGUAUCUGUAGAAGAAAAAUGGUACUUUAUUUUGUCCUGUUUCUCAAACACCAUUAGAUUGAACAGUUUUGUUAAUAGACACUUUUGCAUCGACGUUUCAACAUUAACACUUCUGAAGUCAUGGUCUGGUGUCAGAUUUGAUAAAGUCAAGGCACUUCAUGUUUUCCAGUCACCUUCAUUACAGUAAUUCCUAACAUUUCCAGCAGUUUAUCUAAUAUGUGUGUAAAAUGUGUGUUCUUAUUUUUAUUUUAGUUUUGCAGAUGGUUUUCUAUAAAGUAUGUUUUUACUAAGUCCCUGUGUGAAUGAUUUAAAAAACUACAGAAUAAGGUACAAAUGUAGUAUAUUUAAUAAACUGUCAACUAAAGAAAAAAAAUCUAUUUCUCCUUUUGUGUGUAUAAGAGAUACCUCCUCUUAGAGCUCUCUCCCAGAUGCCCUUGUGUCUACUGAUGGAAGAGACAUUUACAUGGUAAAAGGCAAAUCUCCAUCUGUAAGGGUUAUCUCCCACUCUGUACCAGGAAGAGGAUGACUAAAUCUCUAGAAACUCACAUGAAUGUAGAA